AGCUCCGUGGUGUCUUUUACAGCAUUUGUUAUUUUCUGCACUGAUAUUCCUUUUUUUUCGUAUUUCUAUUAUUGCAAUUCACAAUAUGAUUAUCAAUGUGAAUAUCUUAAAGAUACCAUCCAGAGUAUUAAAUGGAUUGCGCUUUCCUUCUUGAUAAUUUCCGCACUUCUACAGUUCAGUAUUUCAGUUAGCCUGUCUGCCUUUGGAUGCCGAUCUCUAAGCAACACAACAGCCAAUCCUCCACAGGUGAUUGUGAUACCAAAUGAAUAUACAACUCAGCAAGUUAUUUCUACCACUCCAGCUUAUGGAAAUCAAAAUGGGUACAUUGUGAUACAGGGCAAUGUUGCUCAGGGAGGGGCUUUUGAUUUUAGGAACGCUCAGCUGCAAGUGCCAGGCAACCCUCAGCCUGACUACAAAGCCGGGAACAUAACAAGCCCUUCUAUUUACCCCAACGUUAACACA